rnacentral:rRNA from 1 species
GAUGAACGCUAGCUACAGGCUUAACACAUGCAAGUCGAGGGGCAGCAUGAACUUAGCUUGCUAAGUUUGAUGGCGACCGGCGCACGGGUGAGUAACACGUAUCCAACCUGCCGAUGACUCGGGGAUAGCCUUUCGAAAGAAAGAUUAAUACCCGAUGGCAUAGUUCUUCCGCACGGUGGAACUAUUAAAGAAUUUCGGUCAUCGAUGGGGAUGCGUUCCAUUAGGUUGUUGGCGGGGUAACGGCCCACCAAGCCUUCGAUGGAUAGGGGUUCUGAGAGGAAGGUCCCCCACAUUGGAACUGAGACACGGUCCAAACUCCUACGGGAGGCAGCAGUGAGGAAUAUUGGUCAAUGGACGAGAGUCUGAACCAGCCAAGUAGCGUGAAGGAUGACUGCCCUAUGGGUUGUAAACUUCUUUUAUACGGGAAUAAAGUGAGGCACGUGUGCCUUUUUGUAUGUACCGUAUGAAUAAGGAUCGGCUAACUCCGUGCCAGCAGCCGCGGUAAUACGGAGGAUCCGAGCGUUAUCCGGAUUUAUUGGGUUUAAAGGGAGCGUAGGCGGACGCUUAAGUCAGUUGUGAAAGUUUGCGGCUCAACCGUAAAAUUGCAGUUGAUACUGGGUGUCUUGAGUACAGUAGAGGCAGGCGGAAUUCGUGGUGUAGCGGUGAAAUGCUUAGAUAUCACGAAGAACUCCGAUUGCGAAGGCAGCUUGCUGGACUGUAACUGACGCUGAUGCUCGAAAGUGUGGGUAUCAAACAGGAUUAGAUACCCUGGUAGUCCACACAGUAAACGAUGAAUACUCGCUGUUUGCGAUAUACAGUAAGCGGCCAAGCGAAAGCGUUAAGUAUUCCACCUGGGGAGUACGCCGGCAACGGUGAAACUCAAAGGAAUUGACGGGGGCCCGCACAAGCGGAGGAACAUGUGGUUUAAUUCGAUGAUACGCGAGGAACCUUACCCGGGCUUGAAUUGCAACUGAAUGAUGUGGAGACAUGCCAGCCGCAAGGCAGUUGUGAAGGUGCUGCAUGGUUGUCGUCAGCUCGUGCCGUGAGGUGUCGGCUUAAGUGCCAUAACGAGCGCAACCCUUAUCGAUAGUUACCAUCAGGUUAUGCUGGGGACUCUGUCGAGACUGCCGUCGUAAGAUGUGAGGAAGGUGGGGAUGACGUCAAAUCAGCACGGCCCUUACGUCCGGGGCUACACACGUGUUACAAUGGGGGGUACAGAAGGCAGCUACACGGCGACGUGAUGCUAAUCCCGAAAGCCUCUCUCAGUUCGGAUUGGAGUCUGCAACCCGACUCCAUGAAGCUGGAUUCGCUAGUAAUCGCGCAUCAGCCACGGCGCGGUGAAUACGUUCCCGGGCCU